UACAGAGGUCUCAAGCGUUGUUCGGAUUCAUUGGGCGUAAAGGGUGCGUAGGCGGCGCGGUAAGUCGGGUGUGAAAUCUUGGAGCUUAACUCCGAAACUGCAUUCGAUACUGCCGUGCUUGAGGACUGGAGAGGAGACUGGAAUUUACGGUGUAGCGGUGAAAUGCGUAGAUAUCGUAAGGAAGACCAGUGGCGAAGGCGGGUCUCUGGACAGUUCCUGACGCUGAGGUACGAAGGCCAGGGGAGCAAACGGG
rnacentral:rRNA from 1 species